rnacentral:sRNA from 1 species
CUUUAACCCCGAUAGAUGCGGUAUCCUUUGUUUUUUUCCUUUAAAAAAACAAAGAUAUAGCGGAUAGCGGGCUCCUUG